GGAAGUAAAAGUCGUAACAAGGUUUCCGUAGGUGAACCUGCGGAAGGAUCAUUAUCGUGGGGCUUCGGCCCUUGCGAGAUAGAACCCUUGUCUUUUGAGAACCGUCCGUUUCCUCGGCAGGGCGACCUGCCAAUGGGGACAACAACAAACCCUUUGUAAUAGAAGUACAUUGUCUGAAUAAAAAAGCAAAAGUUACAACUUUCAACAAUGGAUCUCUUGGCUCUGGCAUCGAUGAAGAACGCAGCGAAAUGCGAUAAGUAGUGUGAAUUGCAGAAUUCAGUGAAUCAUCGAAUCUUUGAACGCACAUUGCGCCCUUUGGUAUUCCUUAGGGCAUGCCUGUUCGAGCGUCAUUUCAACCUUCAAGCUCCGCUUGGUGUUGGGUGUUUGUCCCGCCUCUGCGCGUGGACUCGCCUCAAAUCGAUUGGCAGCCGGUACGUAGGCUUCGAGCGCAGCACAAACGCGUCUUGAGCCCCGCGGGCCGGGUCCCAUAAGCAUUUUUCUUAUUUUGACCUCGGAUCAGGUAGGGAUACCCGCUGAACUUAAGCAUAUCAAUAAGCGGAGGA
rnacentral:rRNA from 1 species